AUGGAGGGUGCUAAAUCCAACAAGAGAGCAGCAGAAGCUCGUCGAGAGGGGCAGAGCAGCGUCAAGAGGCGGAAUGUCAACGUGGCAGUGGACGGUGGUAAAUCAAACGGGCGACAAGCAGAAGUCCGGCGAGAGGGACAGAGCAGCGCAAAGACGCAGAGUGUCAAUGUGGCGGUGGACGGUGGUGAAUCCAAUGCGCAACAAGCACAAGUUCGGCGAGAGGGACAGAGCAGCACCAAGAUGCAGAAAGUCACCAUGGGGUUGGAUACCCUCGACUGCCCUGUCUGCUCCCAGCCCCUCAGGCCCCCGGUUUUCCAGUGUCCUAAAGGGAAUCUCAUCUGCUCGCCCUGCCGUGACAAGCUCCCGGAAAGCAAGCGCGGUGCUCCUCAGCGCAGCUAUGGUGUGGAGCGCAUCAUUGAGAACACUUUUGUCCCCUGCAAGCAUGGAUGUUUGACGAAGAUCACCUAUUACGACAUAGAAGAACACGAGAGUAGGUGCCCUCUCGGGCCAUGUUUCUGUCCGGUCUCUGGUUGCGGCUUCGUCGGGACAACCGUGCCACUGUUAGACCAUCUCACCACCCUGCACAAGCUGCCAAAGAUGGCAUUCAAAUACUUCGUGCCAUUUGAACUCCCUGCCCAACCAUGCUCUCUUGUUCUCCGCGGUGGAUAUGGUCGUGUUUUCCUUCUCGAAGUGGCAUCGCUGGAGUCCCUGGGCCAUUCAGUCUCACUAGUUUGUGCUGGGCAUAAGGAUUGGCUUGGCACGAUCAGGUGCUCGGUCGGUUUCUCAUGCUUUGAAGGUCACUGCCAGGUUUCAUUCUUGGAAAUCGAGAGGUCAUCAUUGUCUAAUGGGUUGACAACGCAAGACUUCUGUGUUGUGCCCAAGGUUUCAGGCGGACAAACUGAUGUCAUGCUCCGGAUCAUGAUCGAUUUGCUCUAUGGUGACGACGAUGUUCCUGAGGUGGAGGAGGACGAUGCAGACAAUAGCUAUGUGGAGGGGGAGGAUGAGGAUAUGACAACGAAGUGGAGGAUGGCCAUCACAAACCUGGGGGUGAGGGAGGAUGACAAUGACAGCGACGAGGAGGAUGGGGAUGAUAACGAUGAGGAGGAGGAUGAUGAUAUGGCGAUAACUGGUACGUCGAGGCGUGGCGUGACAAUCACAAGUGAGAAGGUGAAGGACGACGGCAAGGAUGAUCGGGAGGACAAUCAGAAUGGUAACUGA
rnacentral:rRNA from 1 species